GACGAACGCUGGCGGCGUGCUUAACACAUGCAAGUCGAACGGAAAGGCCCUGCUUUUGUGGGGUGCUCGAGUGGCGAACGGGUGAGUAACACGUGAGUAACCUGCCCUUGACUUUGGGAUAACUUCAGGAAACUGGGGCUAAUACCGGAUAGGAGCUCCUGCUGCAUGGUGGGGGUUGGAAAGUUUCGGCGGUUGGGGAUGGACUCGCGGCUUAUCAGCUUGUUGGUGGGGUAGUGGCUUACCAAGGCUUUGACGGGUAGCCGGCCUGAGCGGGUGACCGGCCACAUUGGGACUGAGAUACGGCGCAGACUGCUACGGGAGGCAGCAGUGGGGAAUAUUGCACAAUGGGCGGAAGCCUGAUGCAGCAGCGCCGCGUGCGGGAUGACGGCCUUCGGGUUGUAACCCGCUUUCGCCUGUGACGAAGCGUGAGUGACGGUAAUGGGUAAAGAAGCACCGGCUAACUACGUG
rnacentral:rRNA from 1 species